UUAGUGGCGAACGGGUGAGUAAUGUAUGAGCAACCUGCCUCUAUCAACGGGAUAACACUUAGAAAUAGGUGCUAAUACGGUAUAAGACCACGGUAUCGCAUGGUAUUGCGGUAAAAGAUUUUAUCGGAUAGAGAUGGGCUCAUAUCCCAUUAGGUAGUUGGUGAGAUAACAGCCCACCAAGCCUGCGAUGGGUAGCCGAGCUGAGAGGCUGAUCGGCCACAUUGGGACUGAAACACGGCCCAGACUCCUACGGGAGGCAGCAGUGGGGAAUAUUGGGCAAUGGAGGCAACUCUGACCCAGCAAUGCCGCGUGAGUGAUGAAGGUCUUUUGAUUGUAAAGCUCUUUUCUUGGGAACGAAGUUCUGACGGUACCCAAGGAAUAAGCCCCGGCUAACUACGUGCCAGCAGCCGCGGUAAUACGUAGGGGGCGAGCGUUGUCCGGAAUGACUGGGCGUAAAGGGUGUGUAGGCGGUUCGGUAAGUUAGAAGUGUAAUACCCAGGGCUUAACUCGGGUGCUGCUUCUAAAACUGCCGGACUUGAGUGCUGGAGAGGAUAGUGGAAUUCCUAGUGUAGCGGUGGAAUGCGUAGAUAUUAGGAGGAACAUCAGUGGC
rnacentral:rRNA from 1 species